UUUUAUGAGAGUUUGAUCCUGGCUCAGGACGAACGCUGGCGGCGUGCCUAAUACAUGCAAGUCGAACGCUUCUUUUUCCACCGGAGCUUGCUCCACCGGAAAAAGAGGAGUGGCGAACGGGUGAGUAACACGUGGGUAACCUGCCCAUCAGAAGGGGAUAACACUUGGAAACAGGUGCUAAUACCGUAUAACAAUCGAAACCGCAUGGUUUUGAUUUGAAAGGCGCUUUCAGG
rnacentral:rRNA from 1 species